rnacentral:rRNA from 1 species
CUGGUUCAGGACGAACGCUGGCGGCGUGCUUCAUACAUGCAAGUCGAACGAGAAAAUCAACUUCGGGUUGGUGGAAAGUGGCGGACGGGUGAGUAAUAUGUAGAGAAUCUGCCCUAGAGAUGGGGACAACAGUUGGAAACGACUGCUAAUACCCAAUAUGAGCGUAGCUGAGAUGCUAUUCUUGAAAACUCCGGUGCUCUGGGAUGAGUCUGCAUCUGAUUAGCUAGUUGGCGGUGUAAUGGACCACCAAGGCGACGAUCAGUAGCUGGUUUGAGAGGAUGAUCAGCCACAAUGGGACUGAGACACGGUCCAUACUCCUACGGGAGGCAGCAGUAGGGAAUUUUGCGCAAUGGGCGAAAGCCUGACGCAGCAACGCCGCGUGAUUGAUGAAGCCCUUCGGGGUGUAAAGAUCUGUCAGUGGGGACGAAACUUGACGGUACCCACAGAGGAAGCACCGGCUAACUCCGUGCCAGCCGCUGC